rnacentral:rRNA from 1 species
UUCGGUGACCAUAGCGAGCAGGUCCCACCCGAUCCCAUUCCGAACUCGGAAGUUAAGCUGCUCAGCGCCGAUGGUACUGCCAGGGUGACUUGGUGGGAGAGUAGGACGUUGCCGAUU